GGGUUGGGGGGAGGGGGGAGGUGUAAAACAAUCCUUAAGAAAGAGACUCAAAUUCAAAACCUCUUAGUUACGGAUGUGGAAGUUCCCUCCUCUAAAAAUGAGCGUAUGUAGGCAUGAGGAGAAUUUUCUCAAACAUGUUGGGAGAUUAUAAAGAAUGAUAUAUGGUUGACGAUGAUGGCUUUCGGUGGUGGUGAAAUAACAAAAUAUAUUUCUCACAUGAAUGUAGUUUUAGUUCCCAAGAAUAAGAAUAUCAGUAAAUUUUUAGAUUUUAAUGUAGUUUUAGUUCCCAAGAAUAAGAAUAUCAGUAAAUUUUUAGAUUUAAGACCUAUCAGCUUGAGCUCUUUUGCUAAUAAAAUUCUAUCAAAGGUACUGCAUGAAAGAAUAAUUCCGUUCUCCUUGAUAUUAUCUCAAAGAAUCAGACGGGCUUUAUGAAAAGAAAAAGUAUUGCUGAAAAUGUUUUACUAGCACAAGAGAUAAUUAGAGACACAAACUACCAUAAUAUUGUGGCGAAGUUGGACAUGACUAAAGCGUAUGAUAUGGUGUCAUGAAUAUUUUUUAUUCAAGUUAUGAGAAGAUUUGAAUUUGAUGAGAGAAUUAUCGAUAUGGGCAUAAGAGGUCAAUGAAAUGAAUGAUGAAGAUUUUGAGGAGAUAUGAACACGUGUCAGGGCAACUCAUAAAUCUAAACAGAGGCUAUGUAUAUCUGCAUGAGAAGGGUUUCUCAAUUUGUUUGUCAGAGGAUUAAAAGAACUACUGGAGUCUCACAAAGUGUCUUUCCUUUUACAUAUCUUGGAUGCCCAACUUUUUCUAACGGGAGGAAAAAAAAUCAUAUUUUAAAGAGCUGAUAAAGAAAGUUGCCUAAAGAGUGAUGGGAUGAAAGAAUCAACUUUUGACUUAUAAAGGAAGGUUUGGACACAGAAGGAAGAAUUUUGAUGCAGAUGAUCAAGAGUUGGUCCUAUGUGAAAGCUCCUACAAAGCUCAAACAUAUUUUUAGAGGUAUUUCAACUCUCAUAAUGUGGAAUUUGUGGAAGAGAAGAAACCAUAUCAAACAUAAAGGUCGGUCCACCUUUGAAGGGUUCGUUCAACAAGUGAAAAAGAGCAUUUAAUUAAAGGUGAUGGUUAACAAUUAAGAGUUCAAAACAACUACAAAAUCUUGACAUGAAAUAGUGAAAAUAAUAGGAGCUUAUUAACCAAGGAUUUACUAUCAAAUUGUACAACAAAAUUUAUCGGAGUAAGAUCAAUUAAAUUAUAUUUCCUCCGAUUAAAAAAGAAUGACCUCCUUUCCUUUUUAGUUUGUUUCAA